rnacentral:rRNA from 1 species
AUCUACAUCCAUACCACCCUGAAUGUGCUGGAUCUCGUCUGAUCUUGGGGACUAAGCAGGGUCAGGCCUAGUUAGUACUUGGAUGGGAGACAAGAAGUAGUUUCUACAGAGAUAAUGGGGAGUAUAUU